GACAGUACAGCUCAGUGGUAAAGUGCAUGCCUAGCAGGCAUGAGUCCUGGGUUCAAUCCCCAGUAUCUUUG
rnacentral:tRNA from 1 species